rnacentral:tRNA from 1 species
ACACUGGUGGUUCAGUGGUAGAAUUCUCACCUUUCAUAUGAGAGACCGGGGUUUGAUUCCCAGCCAGUACG